rnacentral:ncRNA from 1 species
UGUUUGUGACCACUAAAAUAUGUUUUGAAGUCAAAGUACACAUUACCCGUACAGUGAAACUGCGAAUGGCUCAUCAGUUAUGGUUCCUUGAUCGCUCCAAUGUUACUUGGAUAACUGUGGCAAUUCUAGAGUUAAUACAUGCCAAUGAGUUAACCUUUGGGUAUCUGUGCAUUUAUCAGGCCCAAAACCCAUGUGGUGUAGAUAUUUCCCCCGGACACUUGUUUUGACUCUAGAUAACCUCGAGCCGUCCCACGCCCUUCUUGGCGGUGAUGUCUCAUUCGAAUGUAUGUCCUAUCUACUUUUGAUGGUGCUUUCUGUGCCUAACACUGGUAAUGGGGAUUCAGGGUUUGAUCCCGGAAUGGGAGCCUAGGAAACAGCUACCAUUCCCAAGGAUUAAGGCAGCAGGCACGCAAAUUACCCACUGCUGACUUGUGGAGGUAUCCUAAAAAGAACAAAACAGGACUCUCUGUUGGCCCUGUAAUUGGAAUGAGUACAUUUUAAAUAAUGUUACGAGGAUCCAUUGCUAUAUAUAACAAA